GGCUUGGACUGGCGGUCCGCCGCAAGGUGUGUACUGUUGGUUUCUCCCUUCUGACGAACCAUGAUGUCAUUUAUUUGGUGUUGUGGGGAAUCAGGACUGUUACUUUGAAAAAAUUAGAGUGUUUAAAGCAGGCUCACGCUUGAAUACAUUAGCAUGGAAUAAUGAAAUAGGACGUUUGAUUCUAUUUUGUUGGUUUCUAGGAUCGACGUA
rnacentral:rRNA from 1 species